rnacentral:tRNA from 1 species
UGGCUCAGAUGGUAAAGCGUCUGCCUACAAUGCGGAAGGCCAGGGUUCAAUCCCUG